UACGUAGGGUGCGAGCGUUGUCCGGAAUUAUUGGGCGUAAAGAGCUCGUAGGCGGCCUGUCGCGUCGGAUGUGAAAGCCCGGGGCUUAACCCCGGGUCUGCAUUCGAUACGGGCAGGCUAGAGUGUGGUAGGGGAGAUCGGAAUUCCUGGUGUAGCGGUGAAAUGCGCAGAUAUCAGGAGGAACACCGGUGGCGAAGGCGGAUCUCUGGGCCAUUACUGACGCUGAGGCACGAAGGCCAGGGGAGCAAACGGG
rnacentral:rRNA from 1 species